rnacentral:rRNA from 1 species
GAUGAACGCUGGCGGCGUGCCUAAUACAUGCAAGUCGAGCGAACAGACGAGGAGCUUGCUCCUCUGACGUUAGCGGCGGACGGGUGAGUAACACGUGGAUAACCUACCUAUAAGACUGGGAUAACUUCGGGAAACCGUAGCUAAUACCGGAUAAUAUAUUGAACCGCAUGGUUCAAUAGUGAAAGACGGUUUUGCUGUCACUUAUAGAUGGAUCCGCGCCGCAUUAGCUAGUUGGUAAGGUAACGGCUUACCAAGGCAACGAUGCAUAGCCGACCUGAGAGGGUGAUCGGCCACACGGGAACUGGGACACGGUCCAGAAUCCUAAGGGAGGCAGCAGUAGGGAAUCUUCCGCAAUGGGCGAAAGCCUGAAGGAGCAAAGCCGCGUGAGUGAUGAAGGUCUUCGGAUCGUAAAACUCUGUUAUUAGGGAAGAAAAAAUGUGUAAGUAACUGUGCACAGCUUGACGGUACCUAAUCAGAAAGCCACGGCUAACUACGUG